rnacentral:rRNA from 1 species
CGGCGGACGGGUGAGUAACACGUGGAUAACCUACCUAUAAGACUGGGAUAACUUCGGGAAACCGGAGCUAAUACCGGAUAAUAUAUUGAACCGCAUGGUUCAAUGGUGAAAGACGGUUUUGCUGUCACUUAUAGAUGGAUCCGCGCCGCAUUAGCUAGUUGGUAAGGUAACGGCUUACCAAGGCAACGAUGCGUAGCCGACCUUAGAGGGUGGAUCGGCCCGACCACUGGAACUGAGACACGGUCCAGACUCCUACGGGAGGCAGCAGGC